rnacentral:rRNA from 1 species
GACGAACGCUGGCGGCGUGCUUAACACAUGCAAGUCGAACGGAAAGGCCCUUUCGGGGGUACUCGAGUGGCGAACGGGUGAGUAACACGUGGGUGAUCUGCCCUGCACUUUGGGAUAAGCCUGGGAAACUGGGUCUAAUACCGAAUAGGACCGCAUGCUUCAUGGUGUGUGGUGGAAAGCUUUUGCGGUGUGGGAUGGGCCCGCGGCCUAUCAGCUUGUUGGUGGGGUAAUGGCCUACCAAGGCGACGACGGGUAGCCGGCCUGAGAGGGUGUCCGGCCACACUGGGACUGAGAUACGGCCCAGACUCGUACGGGGGGCAGCAGGGGGGAAUAUUGCACAAUGGGCGCAAGCCUGAUGCAGCGACGCCGCGUGGGGGAUGACGGCCUUCGGGUUGUAAACCUCUUUCAGUAUCGGCGAAGCUCCGGGAUUUUUCUUGGGGUGACGGUAGGUACGGAAGAAGCACCGGCCAACUACGUGCCAGCCGCCGCCGUAA